CGCUAUCACUCCUACGGGAGGCAGCAGGUGGGAAUAUUGGACAAUGGGCGAAAGCCUGAUCCAGCCAUGCCGCGUGUGUGAAGAAGGUCUUCGGAUUGUAAAGCACUUUAAGUUGGGAGGAAGGGCAGUAAGUUAAUACCUUGCUGUUUUGACGUUACCAACAGAAUAAGCACCGGCUAACUUCGUGCCAGCAGCCGCGGUAAUACGAAGGGUGCAAGCGUUAAUCGGAAUUACUGGGACGUAAAGCGCGCGUAGGUGGUUCAGCAAGUUGGAUGUAGAAACGUCCCCCGGGCUACAACCGUGGGAACUGCAUACCAAAACUACUGAGCUAGAGUACGGUAGGAGGGUGGUGGUAAUUUCCUGUGUAGCGGUAGAAAUGCGUAGAUAUAGGAAGGAACACCAGUGGCGAAGGCGACCACCUGGACUGAUACUGACACUGAGGUGACGAAAGCGUGGGGAGCAAACAGGAUUAGAUACCCUGGUAG
rnacentral:rRNA from 1 species